GAGUCCACUCUGACACAAGUAGUUUAUGGAAGUUCUGCAGUAAGGCAGCUGCUAGAUUUACGUCUGUAUCUGAGUGAAUAUCUGUACUCCUUUUGUCCAGCGAAUGAGAUGAAGCAAUGAACUGAAGUAUAUUUGCUCCAGUAUGUCAAAUAUCAAAAAGCGCAACCAUUGAAAGAGGUGUCUGUUCAGCCAUCUGGAUCGCCAUACGUUAACGUUUACAUGAACCAUGUUUCUUACGAAUGCAACAUUUCCGGUAUAUUAUUUUGUAUACAGAAAAAGAUUUGCAAGUAUACAAGGAAACGGAAAGAGAGCUUUGAGGAGCCGGGACUGGGCCUUAUACGUCUUUCAUGUACCCCACAUGUUUAUGAAAUUACCAGCUUGGUGAACAUGUGAGAAAUAAAUCAACAGCGAUGUGGGGAGCAAUAGGCCUCAAAUCUCUACUAAAACGGUACUUGUUCGUCUUGCCUGUUGAAGUGGAAACCUUGUAUAUUUACGUUUUAGAAGAAUUAUAAUGUAAAUAUCAAGUACAAUUGUUUAAGCCACAAUAAAAUACAACGCGCUCAGAAAAUAAGUUACUUGACAAAUGUUUACUCCAAACUACACCAUAAAUGACUAAACUAAGAACUAAAAUUAAAAUC